AGAAAUCGGCCAAACGAGACGGGGUGAA
rnacentral:sRNA from 1 species